rnacentral:rRNA from 1 species
UCGGGGUACUCGAGUGGCGNACGGGUGAGUAACACGUGGGUGAUCUGCCCUGCACUUUGGGAUAAGCCUGGGAAACUGGGUCUAAUACCGAAUAGGACCACGCGCUUCAUGGUGUGUGGUGGAAAGCUUUUGCGGUGUGGGAUGGGCCCGCGGCCUAUCAGCUUGUUGGUGGGGUAAUGGCCUACCAAGGCGACGACGGGUAGCCGGCCUGAGAGGGUGACCGGCCACACUGGGACUGAGAUACGGCCCAGACUCCUACGGGAGGCAGCAGUGGGGAAUAUUGCACAAUGGGCGCAAGCCUGAUGCAGCGACGCCGCGUGAGGGAUGACGGCCUUCGGGUUGUAAACCUCUUUCAAUAGGGACGAAGCGNGAGUGACGGUACCUAUAGAAGAAGCACCGGCCAACUACGUGCCAGCAGCCGCGGUAAUACGUAGGGUGCGAGCGUUGUCCGGAAUUACUGGGCGUAAAGAGCUCGUAGGUGGUUUGUCGCGUUGUUCGUGAAAACUCACAGCUUAACUGUGGGCGUGCGGGCGAUACGGGCAGACUAGAGUACUGCAGGGGAGACUGGAAUUCCUGGUGUAGCGGUGGAAUGCGCAGAUAUCAGGAGGAACACCGGUGGCGAAGGCGGGUCUCUGGGCAGUAACUGACGCUGAGGAGCGAAAGCGUGGGGAGCGAACAGGAUUAGAUACCCUGGUAGUCCACGCCGUAAACGGUGGGUACUAGGUGUGGGUUCCUUCCUUGGGAUCCGUGCCGUAGCUAACGCAUUAAGUACCCCGCCUGGGGAGUACGGCCGCAAGGCUAAAACUCAAAGGAAUUGACGGGGGCCCGCACAAGCGGCGGAGCAUGUGGAUUAAUUCGAUGCAACGCGAAGAACCUUACCUGGGUUUGACAUGCACAGGACGCCGGCAGAGAUGUCGGUUCCCUUGUGGCCUGUGUGCAGGUGGUGCAUGGCUGUCGUCAGCUCGUGUCGUGAGAUGUUGGGUUAAGUCCCGCAACGAGCGCAACCCUUGUCCUAUGUUGCCAGCGGGUUAUGCCGGGGACUCGUAGGAGACUGCCGGGGUCAACUCGGAGGAAGGUGGGGAAUGACGUCAAGUCAUCAUGCCCCUUAUGUCCAGGGCUUCACACAUGCUACAAUGGCCGGUACAAAGGGCUGCGAUGCCGUGAGGUGGAGCGAAUCCUUUCAAAGCCGGUCUCAGUUCGGAUCGGGGUCUGCAACUCGACCCCGUGAAGUCGGAGUCGCUAGUAAUCGCAGAUCAGCAACGCUGCGGUGAAUACGUUCCCGGGCCUUGUACACACCGCCCGUCACGUCAUGAAAGUCGGUAACACCCGAAGCCGG